UUAGGUAGUCAAAUUACUUGCUUCAAACGUAAAUAUAUUGCCCUGAGUUGAAACACUAUGUAAUUAUGAAUAUUAGGUUGAAAAAUGAAUUUAAAUCCUGGAUGGUUAUUUCAUUCAGUGAUUUUAAUAUUGGCUGUCUCUCGAACUAUAACAUCUUCAGUUGAUUAUUUCCCUUGCCCUUAUGAACAUCGAUUUAAUUCCUGUAAAAUAGAAGAUUUGAUAAUUCACCCUUGUAAUCGAGGCCUCUUUGAUCAUCAUUGCAAUCUAUACUCUAUGAAAUCCACAGUUAUGGUUGUAAUUUGGACCUCUCCCAUGAAGUGUAAAACAGCGACUUGGAAUUUAUACGUUCAUCUACCCAAUGGUUACCAAAGUAUUGUCAAUGAUACAGACGCUUGUCAUUAUACAAGAUGUCCAUUUGAUGGAGAAAGACGAAUGUUGAUUUACGAAUUUCGAAUACCUGCUCAUUUUGGAUCUCAAAUUUACGAAUUUAUGGUGGUUUUGAGAGGUAGAAAAGGCAUCCAUGCUUGCUGCACCUGUUUCAAAGCGAAUGUCGUGAAUGAAGAUAUCAAUUUAACUCCCUUAAGUGAAAGUA